rnacentral:lncRNA from 1 species
UACCUAGCUGUUAUCUCGCUCUGUCCUGCUAAGAAUCUGCCUGCCUGAGUGAUGCAGCCAGGCUCCCUUGUUCCCUGGGGCAAGGAACCAGUAGAGGGAUAGGGAAUCACAGUGUUUCCCGGCUGCAAGGGCCCUUGGAGAUGGUUUUACAGAUGAGGAAGCAGAGUCCAGAGAAAGGAAGUGAUCUGCUGGGAACCACUGUACUUUUCACACAAGCAACUUUCCGGGCAUCUGCUAUGUGCUGUCCACAGGAUGGCGAGGGGCCUCAUCUUGCAGCCUGAGGGAACAGCCUCAUAUUCAGGCUUCCUUUUGCCUUCUCUGCUUCACCUUGAUUGAAGCUACCCUUCUCUGCACCUUCUUUAAGACUAUCCUAAACAUCCUGCCAUUAAUUAGCUGAACAGCCCAUCUAGUAAACAAGACCGAUGGUUGAGGGGCUGGAAAAGAGGAGGAGUCAGCAAGUUGAAAGUCACAACAGACCAGCCCACUCCCUCAGAUAAAAGAAAGGCACAUCACAGUUGUCACAUCAGCAGGCUAGAAAAGCCAUCCCAUUCCUGCGGUAGGCAUUCUGUCAAAGAAAAAGAAAUCUGCAAUGAAUUAUCACAUGAAGUCAAACAAGGAAAGGAGGCAAAAAGCAAGCAGAGCCCUCUUCCUGUUUUGUAGACUCUGCUGGCUACAAUCUAAUAGAAUGCUUAAUCUGAAUAUUUCUGGUGGCAAAACUAUAGCAACCAUUCUGUCUAUUAAAAAGUCAGUGUGGUUAACAAGUGGUUAGUGAUUCUAUUUUUGGGAAGUAGCAGAUACAUAAAAUAAGACAUCCCAUUUUGUUAACUGAUUGGGCUUGGUUAGGCCAAAGAGAUGUAUUGAAUCUGUUUGUCUUUUAUAAACAUGUGUUCUCUAUUCGAUAUGCUCAGGAAUCACUUCUAACUAACUAAGUAUCUUAAUAGUCUAUAAAUUACUGACUCAUUACUGGCCCUUCCCGGGCCUAAUUUAUAGUCUGAGUGAAAAGCUGUCGGAACAGACACUAAUAGAGGCCUCUCCUCCUCCCUAAAAUAUGAUGAUCUCAAAGGAGUUCUGUAUAGUUCUGCAUAUUGUAGACAGUAUCAAAAAUGCAAAUCUUAUAUAAUUUUAUAUACAUACCUGUACGUACAGAUGUACACAUGGAUAUGCAUGGUGGGAUAAAAUACUCCCAUAAAAGAAAAUGGGAAAAUGGAUUCUAAGUGCAAUAAUUAAUACGUUUCAGUAAAGAAAGAAAAGUUGCAUGCUUUUCAUUCCAAGAGACAUAUUUUGCAUUUCAGUGUUGGGAGACCUGGAUCACACAGGGUCUCUGUAACAUCCUGAAUUCCACCAUAAGACCCAGAGGGGAGCAGAACUAAAAUUCAGGACUUAGGAAUAAAAUUUCCCUUUCCCUGGCACAUUUUUAAUCAUUUAAACUAGUAACAGUCACAUCCAGAGAAUUCAUAACCGUCAAUCUUUUCAGAAAAACAAAGAAAAUCAUAAAAUUCAGGUUAGGGAUUUUUCCCCCUUAGGCUAAUAACUCUGAAGCAGUUCUGGAGUCUGUAUACUUCCAGCCCAAUGAAUUAACCUUGAACAGCCACAGCCAUAUUUUAAGAAAUACAGAAUAACCUUUUACGAUCAAGAUAAUGCUAUGGAGGCAGUGAAAUCUUCAUCUUAAAAAAUAAUUAAACCACAUUUAUAAUUAAUUAUACUAAAAAUGGAAAGUAGA